rnacentral:lncRNA from 1 species
UUCAAUGUGAACAUCAACCAUUCAAUGUCAACUACAAAACUGUCACGAUCCAAGGUAGUCUCUAGGCAUAACAUGGCGUAUAGGACCCCGGGAGGCCUCCAUACAAGCCACUUAGCAUUCAUAACAUAAGAAAUAGAAAUAUAAGAGAUUCAAAAGACAGUUUUCAACGUAGAGAGUUUAUAAAAGCAAAACGGAACUCUAAACAUCAUCUCAAAUCCAUCUAGUACAUAAGAAUGAAUUUGAGCGAACCCCGUACAUCAUGUUCAAAACUGAAAGAAACAAAAGACUGAAAACAAUAAAUGUUCGUCCUCGAAGCAUGAGAACUCACCAAAGCUCGAAAUCUCCUCAACGAACUCUAGCCACGAAACCGGGAACCCUGACUAUCAGACCCUACAUUUAGGAAACUGUAGGUAAGAGUAUGCGUUAGUACAAACAUGUAACAAGUAUGAUAGCCAUGCAUAAAAUCAUUUGAAAACAUGCUUAAAAGGGAACAUUUUCAUAAACAUGCAAUGACCAAGCUAAAACAUGUUAAUAAGAGUUAGAAAGCGUAAGUCAUAAAACAAGGUCAAUGCAAGCUGACAUCUUCAAGACAUUCAUGAGGUACUUAUAAAAGUAACCUUAGUUCAUAAUUGUGGCAAAUUUACCUUUAACCGACAUAUAAGACCAUGUGAGCUAUCAACACGGAAUCCGGUGUCUCCCACACCGGAAAGGGUUGUCCUACUUGCCAAGGUAAGGCCCAUGAACUUCUAGCUUAGGUGGAUCCACUAGCUAAUAUCUAGAUAAGACAACAUCCUAUGGUGGUACAUAGUUAAGGGACAAGGAGAUUGCUUCUAGAAAACCCGUCUCUACCAACGAGAGAGCAUCCAUCUCAAUAUCCGCUUGAUACUAAGAGUAAUUCCCACAGAAUAGUCAAUUAUGCAUACUUGUCUUUAUUAUCCAUGGAAGGGCACGCCAUAUUGCUAAUCCGAGCUAAGUAAUGUAUUAUCCAUGGAAAGGUAUCAUUCAAUAACCAAUCCAAGUUAGCUUUCAUUAGAAUAACUCCUUAAAUCUUUGAUUCCGAGUGUAGUUGAGAAAACCUUUCAACCCUAAAAAUCCUUUAUGUGAGAAUAUCCUUUCACAAAUUAUGCUUUCAUGUGUAUAUGAGAAAUCCUUUCACAACACAACAAAUAACAACAUUGAUACUUUACUCUUAAAGUAUCCUUAAAACAUUUACAUCAAUUUCAUGAGAACAUGCUUAAUUUCAUAAACUCUUCUUUCAUAAUUCAAAACCCACAUCAUAUGAUCAUACCUUGGAAAACAUGAGAAUUGUGUGGGUUCAUGGGGAUCAUCAUAAAAACAUGAGAUUAACUCAAUUCAUGUAUAGAAGAUCAUAAAUUAAUCAGUUAAAUCCAUAAUUAAGAGAACCAUAACAUAGAAGAAAUUCCUAAUCUCAAUUAGGGAAUUCUAAUUUUGUAAAUUGGAGAAUUUGGGAACUCCAUGAAGGAAAGGGUUUCAUGGAUGAAAACUAUAAUACCUCAAUGCCAAAAGCUUGCCUUCAAUGAUGGAAUUGGAGGCUUGACUUGAAACCCUAACUUUCUUCUUCAACUUCUAGAGAGAGAAAUAUUUGAGAGGAAGACUUGUUCUUCUU